rnacentral:piRNA from 1 species
UAACUUCCAUGAACUUAGCCUCCCUCGC